GCCAGAAAAUCUUAAGUGUUAUUACAUACAGCCGUGAAGAACUAUUAGAUAAAAGAGCGACAUCAACUUACCAACAUUACGACCAGGAAUACGACUUUCCCGAAGUGGAUUCUUUGUUCAGACCCCCACCCAGGACAUUGAAUCUAAUCCCAGAGGCUGACCCAAAACAACGUCGCCGCAGAAGAGGUAGACAGAGCGACCUUAAGUCAGACUUCGAAGGCAUGCGCACCAAUCACCGCUUCCGAGUAUAUUACUCGCCAAUGUCCAGUCUCUAGACAACAAGGUGGAUGAAAUUAGGGCAAGGGUUGCCUUCCAGAGAGACAUCAGAGAUUGUAACGUUCUCUGUUUCACGGAAACAUGGCUCUCUCGGGAUAUGUUGUCGGUACAGCCACCGGGUUUCUUCAUGCGUCGGGCCGACAGAAAUAAACAUCUCUCUGGGAAGAAGGACGGGGGUGUAUGCUUCAUGAUUAACGACUCAUGGUGUAAUCAUAACAUACAGGAACUCAAGUCUUUCUGUUCACAUGACCUAGAAUUCUUUACAAUCAAAUGCCGACCAUAUUAUCUCCCAAGAGUAUUCUCGUCAGUUAUCGUCACAGCUGUGUAUAUCCCCCCUUAAGCACAUACCACGACGGCCCUCAAGGAACUUCCCUGGACUCUAUGUAAACUGGAAACCAUAUAUCCUGAAGCUACAUUUAUUGUAGCUGGGGAUUUUAACCUGUUGAGGACAGACGUUCCGCUAGCGGAACCCCGUUCCGCCUGCGGAACCCCGAGCCAAUGGCAUCGCACGGCACGAAAUACAAAACCAACUAAAAUACCACAAUUCAAUUUUCUCUCACAAUCAACUAUUUUACACCAUUUUAAAGAUAAGACUCUCGUUACUCUAACCACAUUGUCCGAUUUCAAAAAGGCUUUACAGCGAAAGCAAAACAUUAGAUUAUGUUAGGUGAGUACAUAGACACAAAUAAUCACACAGCCAUUUUCCAAGCAAGCAUAUAUGUCACAUAAACCCAAACCACAGCUAAAUGCAGCACGAACCUUUGAUCUUCAUCAGAUGACACUCCUAGGACAUUAUGUUAUACAAUACAUGCAUGUUUUGUUCAAUCAAGAUAAUAUUUAUAUCAAAAACCAGCUUUUUACAUUAGCAUGUGAUGUUCAGAACUAGCAUACCCACCGAAAACUUCCGGUGAAUUUACUAAAUUACUCAUGAUAAACGUUGACAAAAUACAUCAUUAUUUUAAGAAUUAUAGAUACAGAACUCCUUUAUGCAAUCGCUAUGUCCGAUUUUAAAAUAGCUUUUCGGCGAAAGCACAUUUUGCAAUAUUCUGAGUACAUAGCUCGGCCAUCACAGGCUAGCUAAUUUGACACCCACCAAGUUUGGGGCUCACUAAACUCAGAAUUACUAUUAGAAAAAUUGGAUUACCUUUGCUGUUCUUCGUCAGAAUGCACUCCCAGGACUUCUACUUCAACAACAAAUGUUGUUUUGGUUCCAAAUAAUCCAUAGUUAUAUCCAAAUACCUACGUUUUGUUUGUGCGCGAGCGCAUUUCGUGACAAAAAAUUUACUUAGAAGCAUGUCAAACGCUGUUUAAAAUCAAUUUUUACGCUAUUUUUCUCGUAAAAUAGCGAUAAUAUUCCAACCGGGCAACGUUGUAUUCAUUCAAAGGCUGAAAGAAAAAAAUGGAGAAGUCUCGUGACCGCGCAUCUCCAGUCUCACUGUCCCCAGGCUGACCACUCACAAACAAAGCUGCUGUACUUUGCCCAGAGACAGCAGACACCCCAUUCCACUUUCUGGCGGCUUUAGAGAGCCAAUGGAAGCCUUAGAAAGUGUCACGUUACAGCACAGAUGCUGUAAUGUCGAUAGAGAUGCAACAGAAGGACAACAAAUUGUCAGACAGGGCACUUCCUGUAUGGAAUCUUCUCAGGUUUUGGCCUGCCAUAUGAGUUCUGUUAUACUCACAGACACCAUUCAAACAGUUUUAGAAACUUUAGAGUGUUUUCUAUCCAAAUCUACUAAUUAUAUGCAUAUCUAGUUUCUGGGCAGGAGUAGUAACCAGAUUAAAUCGGGAACGUUUUUAAUCCGGCCGUGAAAAUACUGCCCCCUAUCCCAAAGAAGUUAACAAAGCAAAUUUGAGAACAAGGCUACCUAAAUUCUAUCAAUGUCUCAAUUGCAGCACUCGCGCAGGCAAUACACUGGACCACUACUACUCUAACUUCCGCAAUGCAUAUAAGGCCCUCCCCCACCCUCCGGCAAAUCCGACCACGACUCCAUUUUGCUCCUGCAGUCCUAUAGGCAGAAACUCAAACAGAAUGUACUCAUGACUAGAACUAUUCAACACUGGUCUGACCAAUCGGAAUCUACGCUUCAAGAUUGUUUUGAUCACACGGACUGGGAAAUGUUCCGGGCAGGCUUAGAGAAUAACAUCGAUCUAUACGCUGACUCGGUGAGUGAGUUUCUAAGGAAGUGCAUUGGAGAUGUUGCACCCACUGUGACUUAAAACCUACCCUAACCAGAAACUGUGGAUAGAUUGCGGAAUUCGCGCGAAACUGAAAGCACAAACCACCGCAUUUAACCAUCGAAAGAUAACUGGGAAUAUGGCCGAAUAUAAACAGUGUAGUUAUUCCCUCCAAGGCAAUCAAUCAAGUGAAAUUACGGUAUAGGGACAAAGUGGAGUCGCAAUUCAACGGCUCAGACACAAGAGGUAUGUGGCAGGGUCAACAGGCAAUUACGGACUACAAAACGAAAACCAGCCACGUCACGGACACUGACGUCUUACUUCCUGACAAACUAAACACCUUCUUUGCCCGCAUUGAGGAUAAUACAGUGCCACCGACGCGGCCUGCUACCAAGGACUGCGGGCAACCCCUCUCCUUCGCUGUGGCCGACGUAAGACAUUUAAAUGUAUUAAUCCUCGCAAGGCUGCUGGCCCAGAUGGCAUCCCUAGCCGCGUCCUCAGAGCAUGCGCAGACCAGCUGGCUGGUGUGUUUACGGACAUAUGAAAUCUCUCCCUAUCCCAGUCUGUUGUCCUCACAUGCUUCAAGAUGGCUACCAUUGUUCCUGUACCAAAGAAGGCAAAGAUAACUGAACUAAAAUGACUAUCGCCCCGUAGCACACUUCUGUCAUCAUGAAGUGCUUUGAGAGACUAGCCAAGGAUCAUAUCACCUCCACCUUACCUGCCACCCUAGACCCGCUUCAGUUUGCAUACCGCCCCAACAGGUCCACAGACGAUGCAAUCACCAUCACACUGCACACUGCCCUAUCCCAUCUGGACAAGAGGAAUACCUAUGUAAGAAUGCUGUUCAUUGACUACGGCUCUGCAUUCAACACCAUAGUACCCUCCAAACUCAUCAUUCAGUUUGUAGCCCUGGGUCUCAACCCCACCCUGUGCAAUUGGGUCCUGGACUUUCAGUUGGUGAAGGUAGGAAACAACAUCUCCACUUCACUGAUCCUCAACACUGGGGCUCCACAAGGGUGCGUGCUCAGCCCCCUCCUGUACUCCCUGUUCACUCAUGACUACGUGGCAAUGCAUGCCUCUAACUCAAUCAUCAAGUUUGCAGGUGACACAACAGUAGUGGGCUUGAUUACCAACAACGAGACAGCCUACAGGGAGGAGGUGAGGGCAUUUAGAGUGUGGUGUCAGGAAAACAACCUCUCACUCAACGUCAACAAAGCAAAGGAGAUGAUCGUGGACUUCAGGAAACAGCAGAGGGAGCACCCUCCUAUCCACAUCGACGGGAUGGUAGUGGAGAAGGUGGAAAAUGUUAAGUUCCUCGGUGUACACACAAACUGAAAUGGUCCACCCACACAGACAGGGUGGUGAAGGCACAACAGCGCCUCUUCAACCUCAGGAAGCUGAAGAAAUGUGGAUUGUCACCUAAAACCUGACAAACUUUACAAAUGCACAAUUGAGAGCAUCCUGUCGGGUUGUAUCACCGCCUGGUACGGCAACUGCACCGCCCUCAACCGCCCUCAACCGCAAGGCUCUCCAGAGGGUGGUGCGGUGUGCACAACGCAUCACUGGGGGCAAACUACCUGCCCUCCAUGACACCUACAUCACCCGACGUCACAGGAAGGCCAAAAAGAUCAUAUAGGACAACUACCCGAGCCACUGCCUGUUAACUCCGUUACCAUCAAGAAGUAGGUGGACCACAAAACAAGUGGAGUGGAAGAACCUGUCAAUGUUGGGGCUCUGGACAUCUAGACCUGGAUCUAGACCUGGAUCUAGCUGCUACCCGAGUGACUAUUGGCUAACGUCGGUCCCGGAGCUAACAUCAAUUAUUCCGGAGCUAGCCAGCUGAAGAGUUCCAUCAGCCACUCCUGGGCUACAAUCACCUAUCCGGACCCGUUUUACUGCCGAUGCGGAGCCCCAUCGGGCCUUCACGACUGGACUACCGACGUUAUCUGCCCGAUGGCGUUAUCCAACUGGCCCCUCCGUCGCGACGUAACUUGAACGCCCAUCUGCGGCCUGCUAAUUGUUAGCUGUCUUAUCAGCUGAUAUCUGAUUAUGUCUAUCGGACAAUUUUCUUGGGCCACUAUAACUAUAACUAUUUUGCCAAUUGGACUGGUCCCCCCUACCACACGGAACCCCACUAAUCUACAGACGGAAAUGCACAAGGUGGCUAAAAACAGACCUCCCUCCAUCUUCUGCCAGCUUGCUACCUAUGAUCCGGCUAGCUGUCUGAAUCUCACAGGACCCUUAUGAUCACUCAGCUAAGCAUGCCUCUCCUUAAUGUCAAUAUGCCUUGUCAAUUGCUGUUCUGGUUAGUGUUUAUUGGCUUAUUUCACUGUAGAGACUCUAGCCCUGCUCAUUAUACCUUAUCCAACCUUUUAGUUCCACCACCUACACAUGCUAUGACAUCUUCUGCUUUCAAUGAUGUUUCUAGAGACAAUAUCACUCUCAUCAUCACUCAAUGCUUAGGUUUACCUCCACUGUAUUCACAUCCUACCAUACCUUUGUCUUUACAUUAUACCUUGAAGCUAUUUUAUCGCCCCCAGAAACCUGCUCCUUUUACUCUCUAUUCUGGACGUCAUCGACGACCAAUUCUCAUAGCUUUAGCCGUACCCUUAUCUUGCUCCUCUGUUCCUCUGGUGAUGUAGAGGUGAAUCCAGGCCCUGCAGUGCCUAGCUCCACUCCUAUUCCCCAGGCGCUCUUUUGUGAUGACUUCUGUAACCGUAAUAGCCAUGGUUUCAUGCAUGUUAACAUUAGAAGCCUUCUCCGGAAGUUUGUUUUAUUCACUGCUUUAGCACACUCUGCCAACCCGGAUGUCCUAGCCGUGUCUGAAUCCUGGCUUAGGAAGUCCACCAAAAACUCUGAAAUCCUCAUCCCUAACUACAACAUUUUCAGACAAGAUAGAACGGCCAAAGGGGGCGGUGUUGCAAUCUACUGCAGAGAGCCUGCAGAGUUCUGUCCUACUAUCCAGGUCUGUACCCAAACAUUUUGAACUUCUACUUUUUUUUAAAUCCAUCUCUCUAAAAACAAGUCUCUCACUGUUGCCGCCUGCUAUAGACCACCCUCUGCCCCCAGCUGUGCUCUGGACACCAUAUGUGAACUGAUUGCCCCCCAUCUAUCUUCAGAUCUCAUGCUGCUAGGUGACCUAAACUGGAACAUGCUUAACACCCCAGCCAUCCUACAAUCUAAGCUUGAUGCUCUCAAUCUCACACAAAUUAUCAAUGAACCUACCAGGUACCACCCCAAAGCCGUAAACACGGGCACCCUCAUAGAUAUCAUCCUAACCAACUUGCCCUCUAAAUAGACCUCUGCUGUUUUCAAACAAGGUCUCAGCGAUCACUGCCUCAUUGCCUGCAUCCGUAAUGGGUCAACGGUCAAACGACCUCCACUCAUCACUGUCAAACGCUUUCUGAAACAUUUCAGCAAGCAAGCCUUUCCAAUCGACCUGGCCUGGGUAUCCUGGAAGGAUAUUGACCUCAUCCCGUCAGUAAAAGAUGCCUGGUUAUUUUUUUGAAAUGCCUUCCUCACCAUCUUAAAUAAGCAUGCCCCAUUCAAGAAAUGUAGAACCAGGAACAGAUAUAGCCCUUGGUUCUCUCCAGACCUGACUGCCCUUAACCAACACAAAAACAUCCUGUGGCGUUCUGCAUUAGCAUCGAACAGCCCCCGUGAUAUGCAACUUUCCAGGGAAGUUAGAAACCAAUAUAUACAGGCAGUUAGAAAAGCCAACACAAACUCAAAAAAGUUCUGGGACACUGUAAAGUCCAUGGAGAAUAAGAACACCUCCCAGCUGCCCACUGCACUGAGGAUAGGAAACUCUGUCACCUCCGAUAAAUCCACUAUAAUUGAGAAUUUCAAUAAGCAUUUUUCUACAGCUGGCCAUGCUUUCCACCUGGCUACCCCUACCGCAGUCAAUAGCACUGCACACCCCACAGCUACUCGCCCAAGCCUUCCCCAUUUCUCCUUCUCCCAAAUCCAGCCAGCUGAUGUUCUGAAAGAGCUGCAAAAUCUGGACCCCUACAAAUCAGCCGGGCUAGACAAUCUGGACCCUUUCUUUCUAAAAUGAUCUGCCGAAAUUGUUGCAACCCCUAUUACUAGCCUGUUCAACCUCUCUUUCGUGUCGUCUGAGAUUCCAAAAGAUUGGAAAGCAACUGCUGUCAUCCCCCUCUUCAAAGGAGGUGACACUCUUGACCCAAACUGGUACAGACCUUUAUCUAUCCUACCCUGCCUUUCUAAGGUCUUCGAAAGCCAAGUCAACAAACAGAUUACCGACCAUUUCAAAUCCCACCGCACCUUCUCCGCUAUGCAAUCUGGUUUCAGAGCUGGUCAUGGGUGCACCUCAGCCACGCUCAAGGUCCUAAACGAUAUCGUAACUGCCAUCGAUAAGAAACAAUACUGUGCUGCCGUAUUCAUUGACCUGGCCAAGGCUUUCGACUCUGUCAAUCACCACAUCCUCAUCGGCAGACUCAAUAGCCUUGGUUUCUCAAAUGAUUGCCUCGCCUGGUUCACCAACUACUUGUCUGAUAGAGUUCAAUGUGUCAAAUCGGAGGGCCUGUUGUCCGGGCCUCUGGUAGUCUCUAUGGGGUUGCCACAGGGUUCAAUUCUUGGGCCAACUCUUUUCUCUGUAUACAUCAAUGAUGUCGCUCUUGCUGCAGGUGAGUCUCUGAUCCACCUCUACGCAGACGACACCAUUCUGUAUAUUUCUGGCCCUUCUUUGGACACCGUGUUAACAACCCUUCAGAUGAGCUUCAAUGCCAUACAACUCUCCUUCCGUGGCCUCCAACUGCUCUUAAAUACAAGUAAAACUAAAUGCAUG
rnacentral:lncRNA from 1 species